GCUCGAAAAAAGAAAAAAGAAGCAAGAAUGCUCAUAGCAGCACUAUUCGUGACAGACCCAAACUGGACACAAUACAGGCGUCCAUCCACAGGUGAAAUGCAUCAUGGGAGCUCCAUUGACACAGUGGAACACUAUUCAGCAAUGACGAAGCGUGGAUGGUUGACCAGGCAACCACCGCAGUACGAGUUUGAACUCAGUAACGCACACCGGGCACCCGGCAGCUGUGAAAGCGGAGACGUUGGUGUCCGCGGAGGAGCGCUCUGAACAGGCUAGAACCCUGGCAACCACUGCUCCACAUUCUGUUUCUGAGUGUGACUGCACUAGACAAAAAGACACCCCAUCACCAGGUGUGUCCAUGUCACUAUUUGGCUCCAAACCCUGCCCAGGAAAACACCCAAGAUUUGCCCUCCACCAUCAAGGCCCUUCGUUGGCUGGUUCCCAUCAGCCCUUCUGGUCUCAGACCUACCUGCUCUUCUAUGUCCAUCUCUUCCCUUCAACUGUGAACCCCUUGAGGGCAGCUGGUUUUCCCAUGGAUCCCCGGUGCCCAGCACGGGCCAGUGAAUGCUGAAUGCAGAAGCAGAUGGCUGAGUGAAUGCCGGAGUGCAAGAAUGACUGAAUCAAGAAGGAAAUAGGAAAAGAGAGCCGUGAUCAAUCUGCUCAGGAAAGGGGUCCCCUGCGUAGCCCCCUGCCACAGAUGGCGGGUCUAGACUGAUGGUGGAGCCAGGCUGAGUUCCCCUCCUCUGACUCACCCCCUCCCCAGAGACUGGGUUUCUGGGAACAUGCUGGAAGCUUGGCUCUCCUCCCUGGCUGAAUCCUCUGUAUCGACCCUGUUCCGAUCCAGGAGUCCCGGUGCUCUGAGGCUGCAGAGCCAGAGACCAGACAGUGCAGAGGGAAGGGCCUCGCAGGGAGGGUGGGAACAGCCUGAGACCCUCCUUCUGAAGUGGAGGUUUGCAGGACCACAGAAACCUCAGGGAAGCUGGGUGACGGCACCUAGUCCCAGGCUGUCAGGAGAACAAAAUGAGAAACGAUGUGGGUGCCUGGAGUCCAGGCGGAAUCCCAUGAGUGCUAAAGGGACAUCAUCUGGAGUGCAACGUGGAGCAGUUCAAGACCCUGCAGGGAUCACUGUUAUCCUUUGGGGUGCCCAGCACCCGAACGCCCUCCCUCUGUCCAGGGCCUCCCCUGCUCCCAUCACAGAUGCUGGCAAUGCCAUCACGGCUUUCCCAGCUCCGUGGUGAUAUAGGGAGGCAGCUGUGUAGCAGUUGUGGUGGCAGCACCCAGCAUCCAGGGUUGGCCAGGGGGACAACGGUGGGGGUGUGUGCACCAAGCCACUUCUGGCAUGUGAUUUGGGGCAUUGUUCCUGGCUAGGUGUGGCCUUUGAGCCUGCUUCUCUGGCUCUCCCAGAGAAUCUGUGACACACUCAGUAGCCGCUAGUGAACCCUUUUCUAUUUCAAUUAGUCAGAAAGCAGGAACCAGAAACCAGGGAGGUGUGGCCCCCCAAAGCUAAGGGAUAUUGGAUGGCAUCAUUAAAGCUCUAGUAUCCAGAAGAAGGGAGGGUUUUCUCUGUUCAUGUCUGUUCUGUGUAGCAGGAAGCACAGGAAAGUGGAGCCUCUCUAGGGGACACUGAUCAGCUUGGCGUGGGAUCUAGAAUUCAGAGUCAGGGGGAGAGGAGCCUAACUUGGGGCUCAGAGGCCUGAAGGCUUUGGGGAGAACAAUGAUAGCUUAGGCCCUAAGGGCCACUCUGGCAGCUCAGGAGGUGGGGGUCCAGGCCUUGCUCAGGGCUGGAAUAGUCUGAAGAUGGACAGAGCUGUUUUGGAGGGAGUAAGCUCCCUAGCACUGGAGGUAAGCAAGGACUGGGUCCUGAAGCAGACAAAAGAAGCCCAGCCUUGGCUUCUCUGGCCCGGCUUUGGUGUGUGUCUCCAGGCUAGGGGCAGAGAAGAGCCUACAGCAACACCCAAACGCUAGCCUUGACAGAGGCCAUCUCUGCCCCCACCCACAAACCAGACCUCAGUACAAUCCCCAGUGGGAGUGGGGGACGGUGAGCUCCUAAUCUACCAAGAAGCCAACAAAGCUCCUUCUCACUCCUCGAGUGACCCAACCCACACUCGGGCGGGGCACAUGGCUGAGGGAUGACCAGGCAGAGAGGGCAGAUCUCAGUAACUGGGGAUGGCGGAUGACGGCCCUGAUAAACCACCUGGAAAAACAGUCCCACGUACCUGGAGAAACAAUUAUGUUCCCGCUGAUCACUUAGCCAAAGAUCACAGACCGAUAACGAGCGUGCUAGCCAGGACGGGGGAGCGGGCACUUUCCUGCCUGCUGGCGGCUGUGUACACUGGAACAACCACUGCAGCAGGAAAUUUGGCAAAGCCUACGGAAGUCCCACCCGCACAUGUCUUCUGGCCCAGGGAUUCCAUUUCUAGGAAUUUAUCCUUGGCUCUGUGUACUCACAGGCAAAAUGACGUGUGAGCCGUGCUAUUGUUUGGUGAAAGCAAACGAUGGUGACAACCUACCCAUCCAUCAACAGAGGACAUCAAAGACAUGAAGGAUGGUAGCCUCACACAGGAUGAAACUGGGUAAAUGGCAACGAGAACGGGGGCGCUUUUUGUGUACGGAUGUGCACGGCUCUCAAAGAUACAAUAGCUCAAAGUCCGGAUGUAACCACUAAGCUAUUUGUGUAUCAAAGGAAAAAAAAAUGUGUCUGCUGAUGCGCUGAAAGCAGAAACUGUUCAGAGGAUGUCGUAGGAAUCAAGAACCAUGGGUGCCAGCGUUCCCUGGUAGCACAGGAGGUUAAGGACCUGGCGUUGUCACUGCUAUGGCU